rnacentral:rRNA from 1 species
UGGGGAAUAUUGGACAAUGGGGGCAACCCUGAUCCAGCCAUGCCGCGUGUGUGAAGAAGGCUUUCGGGUUGUAAAGCACUUUCAGUGGGGAAGAAAUCCUCGGGGCCAAUACCUUCGAGGGAGGACAUCACCCACAGAAGAAGCACCGGCUAACCCCGUGCCAGCAGCCGCGGUAAUACGGAGGGUGCGAGCGUUAAUCGGAAUUACUGGGCGUAAAGCGCGCGUAGGCGGCGUGAUAAGCCGGUUGUGAAAGCCCCGGGCUCAACCUGGGAACGGCAUCCGGAACUGUCAGGCUAGAGUGCAGGAGAGGAAGGUAGAAUUCCCGGUGUAGCGGUGUAAUGCGUAGAGAUCGGGAGGAAUACCAGUGGCGAAGGCGGCCUUCUGGACUGACACUGACGCUGAGGUGCGAAAGCUGGGGGAGCAAACG